ACUCUAAGGUGACUGCCGGCUAAAAGUCGGAGGAAGUGGGGAUGACGUCAAAUCAUCAUGCCCUUAUGACCUGGGCUACACACGUGCUACAAUGGGCGGUACAAAGGGUCGCGAACCCGCGAGGGGGAGCCAAUCCCAAAAAGCCGACUCUCAGUUCGGAUUGCAGGCUGCAACUCGCCUGCAUGAAGCCGGAAUCGCUAGUAAUCGCGGAUCAGCAUGCCGCGGUGAAUACGUUCCCGGGCCUU
rnacentral:rRNA from 1 species